rnacentral:rRNA from 1 species
AAGUCGAGCGAACAGAUAAGGAGCUUGCUCCUUUGACGUUAGCGGCGGACGGGUGAGUAACACGUGGGUAACCUACCUAUAAGACUGGGAUAACUUCGGGAAACCGGAGCUAAUACCGGAUAACAUUUGGAACCGCAUGGUUCUAAAGUGAAAGAUGGUUUUGCUAUCACUUAUAGAUGGACCCGCGCCGUAUUAGCUAGUUGGUAAGGUAACGGCUUACCAAGGCAACGAUACGUAGCCGACCUGAGAGGGUGAUCGGCCACACUGGAACUGAGACACGGUCCAGACUCCUACGGGAGGCAGCAGUAGGGAAUCUUCCGCAAUGGGCGAAAGCCUGACGGAGCAACGCCGCGUGAGUGAUGAAGGGUUUCGGCUCGUAAAACUCUGUUAUUAGGGAAGAACAAAUGUGUAAGUAACUGUGCACAUCUUGACGGUACCUAAUCAGAAAGCCACGGCUAACUACGUGCCAGCAGCCGCGGUAAUACGUAGGUGGCAAGCGUUAUCCGGAAUUAUUGGGCGUAAAGCGCGCGUAGGCGGUUUCUUAAGUCUGAUGUGAAAGCCCACGGCUCAACCGUGGAGGGUCAUUGGAAACUGGGAAACUUGAGUGCAGAAGAGGAAAGUGGAAUUCCAUGUGUAGCGGUGAAAUGCGCAGAGAUAUGGAGGAACACCAGUGGCGAAGGCGACUUUCUGGUCUGUAACUGACGCUGAUGUGCGAAAGCGUGGGGAUCAAACAGGAUUAGAUACCCUGGUAGUCCACGCCGUAAACGAUGAGUGCUAAGUGUUAGGGGGUUUCCGCCCCUUAGUGCUGCAGCUAACGCAUUAAGCACUCCGCCUGGGGAGUACGACCGCAAGGUUGAAACUCAAAGGAAUUGACGGGGACCCGCACAAGCGGUGGAGCAUGUGGUUUAAUUCGAAGCAACGCGAAGAACCUUACCAAAUCUUGACAUCCUUUGAAAACUCUAGAGAUAGAGCCUUCCCCUUCGGGGGACAAAGUGACAGGUGGUGCAUGGUUGUCGUCAGCUCGUGUCGUGAGAUGUUGGGUUAAGUCCCGCAACGAGCGCAACCCUUAAGCUUAGUUGCCAUCAUUAAGUUGGGCACUCUAGGUUGACUGCCGGUGACAAACCGGAGGAAGGUGGGGAUGACGUCAAAUCAUCAUGCCCCUUAUGAUUUGGGCUACACACGUGCUACAAUGGACAAUACAAAGGGCAGCUAAACCGCGAGGUCAUGCAAAUCCCAUAAAGUUGUUCUCAGUUCGGAUUGUAGUCUGCAACUCGACUACAUGAAGCUGGAAUCGCUAGUAAUCGUAGAUCAGCAUGCUACGGUGAAUACGUUCCCGGGUCUUGUACACACCGCCCGUCACACCACGAGAGUUUGUAACACCCGAAGCCGGUGGAGUAACCAUUUAUGGAGC